UAGAGUUUGAUCCUGGCUCAGGAUAACGCUGGCGGCGCACAUAAGACAUGCAAGUCGAACGGAAGUCGUUAUAUUGAUUCUGAUUUGGAUUUGAAGAUUCGUCAGAUAUGAAGAAGAUGAAGAUUUAUAACAAUGGCUUUAGUGGCGGACUGGUGAGUAACGCGUAAGCAAUCUGCCUAUUAGAGGGGAAUAACAGUGAGAAAUCAUUGCUAAUACCGCAUAUGCCAUAAACAUCGCAUGAUGAUAGUGGGAAAGGAGUAAUCCGCUAAUAGAUGAGCUUGCGUCUGAUCAGUUAGUUGGUGGGGUAACGGCCUACCAAGACUACGAUCAGUAGCCGGACUGAGAGGUUGAACGGCCACAUUGGGACUGAGAUACGGCCCAGACUCCUACGGGAGGCAGCAGUCGGGAAUAUUGCGCAAUGGAGGAAACUCUGACGCAGUGACGCCCCGUAUAGGAAGAAAGUUUUCGGAUUGUAAACUAUUGUCGUUAGGGAGAUACAGACAGUACCUAAAGAGAGCUCCGGCUAACUACUGCCAGCAGCCGCGGUAAUACGUAGGAGCAGCGUUAUCCGGAUUUAUUGGUGUAAGGGUGCGUAGACGGCAAGCAAGUAGUUGUGAAUCCCUC
rnacentral:rRNA from 1 species